rnacentral:rRNA from 1 species
AUUGAACGCUGGCGGCAUGCUUUACACAUGCAAGUCGAACGGCAGCGCGGGCUUCGGCCUGGCGGCGAGUGGCGAACGGGUGAGUAAUACAUCGGAACGUGCCCAGUAGUGGGGGAUAGCUCGUCGAAAGCCGGAUUAAUACCGCAUACGACCUGAGGGUGAAAGCGGGGGAUCUUCGGACCUCGCGCUAUUGUAGCGGCCGAUGGCAGAUUAGCUAGUUGGUGGGGUAAAGGCCUACCAAGGCGACGAUCUGUAGCUGGUCUGAGAGGACGACCAGCCACACUGGGACUGAGACACGGCCCAGACUCCUACGGGAGGCAGCAGUGGGGAAUUUUGGACAAUGGGCGAAAGCCUGAUCCAGCAAUGCCGCGUGUGUGAUGAAGGCCUUCGGGUUGUAAAGCACUUUUGGCGGGAACGAAAAGGACUGUGCCAAUACCACGGUUCGAUGACGGUACCCGCAGAAUAAGCACCGGCUAACUACGUG